AUGGGAAAGACGAGAGAUCUCUUCAAGAAAAUUAGAGAUACCAAGGGAACAUUUCAUGCAAAGAUGGGAUCGAUAAAGGACAGAAAUGGUAUGGACCUAACAGAAGCAGAAGAUAUUAAGAAGAGGUGGCAAGAAUACACGGAAGAACUGUACAAAAAAGAUCUUCACAACCCAGAUGACCAUGAUGGUGUGAUCACUCACCUAGAGCCAGACAUCCUGGAAUGUGAAGUCAAGUGGGCCUUAGAAAGCAUCACUACGAACAAAGCUAGUGGAGGUGAUGGAAUUCCAGUGGAGCUAUUUCAAAUCCUGAAAGAUGAUGCUGUGAAAGUGCUGCACUCAAUAUGCCAGCAAAUUGGGAAAACUCAGCAGUGGCCACAGGACUGGAAAAGGUCAGUUUUCAUUCCAAUCCCAAAGAAAGGCAAUGCCAAAGAAUGCUCAAACUACCGCACAAUUGCACUCAUCUCACACGCUAGUAAAGUAAUGCUCAAAAUUCUCCAAGCCAGGCUUCAGCAAUACGUGAACCGUGAACUUCCAGAUGUUCAAGCUGGUUUUAGAAAAGGCAGAGGAACCAGAGAUCAAAUUGCCAACAUCUUCUGGAUCAUUGAAAAAGCAAGACAGUUCCAGAAAAACAUCUAUUUCUGCUUUAUUGACUAUGCCACAGCCUUUGACUGUGUGGAUCACAAUAAACUGUGGAAAAUUCUGAAAGAGAUGGGAAUACCAGACCAUCUGACCUGCCUCUUGAGAAACCUGUAUGCAGGCCAGGAAGCAACAGUUAGAACUGGACAGGGAAAAACAGACUGGUUCCAAAUAGGAAAAGGAGUACGUCAAGGCUGUAUAUUGUCACCCCGCCUAUUUAACUUCUAUGCAGAGUCCAUCAUGAGAAACGCUGGACUGGAAGAAACACAAGCUCGAAUCAAGAUUGCUGCAGAUGACACCACCAUUAUGGCAGAAAGUGAAGAGGAACUAAAAAGCCUCUUGAUGAAAGUGAAAGAGGAGAGUGAAAAACUUGGCUUAAAGCUCAACAUUCAGAAAACAAAGAUCAUGGCAUCCAGUCCCAUCACUUCAUGGGAAAUGGAUGGGGAAACAGUGGAAACAGUGUCAGACUUUAUUUUUUUGGGCUCCAAAAUCACUGCAGAUGGUGACUGCAGCCAUGAAAUUAAAAGACACUUACUCCUUGGAAGAAAAGUUAUGACCAACCUAGAUAGUAUAUUCAAAAGCAGAGACGUUACUUUGCCGACUAAGGUCCGUCUAGUCAAGGCCAUGUUUUUUCCUGUGGUCAUGUAUGGGUGUGAGAGUUGGACUGUGAAGAAGGCUGAGCGCCAAAGAAUCGAUGCUUUUGACCUGUGUUGUUAA
rnacentral:lncRNA from 1 species